ensembl:lncRNA
UAACACUAUAUAGGGAAUAGGGUGCCAUUUGGGAUGAAUCCACUAGCUACAUGGCUGCCACAGUGACUGACUUCCCUUAAAAAAACACCUCACGUUCACAUCUCUUCACAUUUGCUAGCGUGUCUAACAGACAGACAACGAUUGGACAGAAAUCCUCUAGAAUACUCUGGGAAUGAUGUUUAACAAGUUGAGGAGGAAAGAAAAGGUCUGGAGUCAAAUCUGAUUACAUUCAGUCAUAGGACAGGACCAGGAAGUGUAGUGUGAAGAGGACAGGACCUGGAAGUGUGAGGAGGACAGGACCAGGAAGUGUGAAGAGGACAGGACCUGGAAGUGUGAGGAGGACAGGACCAAGAAGUGUGAGGAGGACAGGACCAAGAAGUGUGAGGAGGACAGGACCAAGAAGUGUGAGGAGGACAGGACCAAGAAGUGUGAGGAGGACAGGACCAAGAAGUGUGAGGAGGACAGGACCAGGAAGUGUGAGGAGGACAGGACCAGGAAGUGCAGUGUGAGGAGGAUGUUCAAAGAGGUGUAGAAUAAACUUAAUAAAUAGGUUGGCUUGGUUUAUUCAUCACGUCAUUGUAGCUGCACUUAGAUGACAGACAGAUUGACACACACGCACACACACGCACACACACGCACACACACACACGCAGAGAGAGAGAACAGCACAAGACAGACGUCUUUAAAACAGCUAUUCUUUGUGGUCAGGCGCCAUGCUCAUUACCGGCUGACUAAAUUGCUGACAGGAAGUCAGAGGUCAACAGUCCCCUUUGACCCCAGGGCUGGCAGGGGUGAGGGGGAUUGAGUCCAGCAGACCAGACAAGACCAGCCUGAAGGAAGCAGAAGGGAGAGAAGUGUGACAGGACCAGGACGUGUAGUGUGAGUAGGACAGGACAAAAUGGCACCCUAUUAUAAGGACUAGUGUUCUAUCUGGGAGGCAGAUGGAGACUCUCAUGGUUGUGUUGUAUUGUAUAGUCAAAUCAAAUUUAAACAAAUGUUAUUUGUCACGUGCACCGAAUACAACAGGUGUAGACUUUACAGUGAAAUGCUUACGUACAAGCCAUUAACCAAAAAUGCAGUUUUAAGAAAAAUAAGUGUUAAGAAAUUAUUUAAUAAAAUAAACUGAAGUAAAAAAAUAAAAAAGUACAUAAAUGAAACAUUUAAAUUUAAAAGAAGAAAAUAGAAAAAUAACAAAUAAUUAAAGUGAGACAAUAAAAUAACAGUAGCGAGGCUAUAUACAGGCCCAGAUUAUAUACAGGCCCAGAUUAUAUACAGGCCCAGAUUAUAUACAGGCCCAGAUUAUAUACAGGCCCAGAUUAUAUACAGGCCCUGAUUAUAUACAGGCCCUGAUUAUAUACAGGCC